CAACUACUCCCUCUGUCCCAAAUUUCUUGUCUUACAUUUGUCUAGAUACAGAUGUAUCUAAUACUAAAAUGUGACUUGAUACAUCCAUAUCUAGACAAAUCUAAGACAAGAAUUUUGGGACGGAGGGGGUACUUU
rnacentral:pre_miRNA from 1 species